AAAAGUUAUAACACUUAUCGACCAGCUGAGCUGCUGUAAGCUUCUCCAACUUUGAAACAUGUUGAAAUGUGCAUGAAUCAUCGAGUAAUCUUGACACGGAUGUCUCUAUCCGUGACCACCACAUCUUCCACCACGAGAGCGAAACAAUACUUGAAGAAGACAACUGUCUUCUUAUGGUAAUUUACCAACAUUUCACAAGCACCUCUGAAACGUUGGGAAACUUCUGCCAGACCACACGGUACUGCAACCAAGCGGACAGACAUCUUCAUAUUCGCCGUUGUGAGAACCUGAAAUGUCACAAUGUACCAGAAGUUCACGACCCGCAGACCGGCAAUGUUUUGAUAAAUAAUGAGCCUGUUCGUAAUAAGUUUUAAGAACUAGUAAAAAAUUGACAUGAAGUUAUAACAAAUUUCCCUCACUUAAAGCUAUCUGGCUUGAGUCAAUAAGCAAGGAAAAUCUGGCCAGAACCGGUCAAAGUUGAGAACCCUGCUUGGUACAUCAUAUAAAACACAAUACUUGCUUCGGAUUUGAUGUAGUAACCAUGACGGCGCAGCUUACAAAAUUUAAUUAGAGAAGUAUGUGCUGCAAAUGAGUCAAAAUGGGAAUAACUGCAUAUGAGUUAUUUAUUUCUUGCCUUCUUCAACCUGUACAAGAAAUUCCCACUUCUGCUGGACUCCAGUGGACUUCCGUGGUGACACAUUUUAGAGCAAAACAAUAAAUAAUAUCAGAUACAAUUUGUUUCUAUUAUAAUUCUAAUGCUGUUUAGGAACACAAACUGUUUUUUACUGU